CCAGACUCCUACGGGAGGCAGCAGUGAGGAAUAUUGGUCAAUGGGCGCGAGCCUGAACCAGCCAAGUCGCGUGAGGGAGGACGGCCCUACGGGUUGUAAACCUCUUUUGCCGGGGAGCAACGGGCGUCACGUGUGGCGCCACUGAGAGUACCCGGAGAAAAAGCAUCGGCUAACUCCGUGCCAGCAGCCGCGGUAAUACGGAGGAUGCGAGCGUUAUCCGGAUUUAUUGGGUUUAAAGGGUGCGUAGGUGGUUAAUUAAGUCAGCGGUGAAAGUUUGUGGCUCAACCAUAAAAUUGCCGUUGAAACUGGUUGACUUGAGUAUAUUUGAGGUAGGCGGAAUGCGUGGUGUAGCGGUGAAAUGCAUAGAUAUCGCGCAGAACUCCGAUUGCGAAGGCAGCGUACCGGCGCCGGACUGACGCUGAGGCACGAAAGCGUGGGUAUCGAACAGGAUUAGAUACCCCAGUA
rnacentral:rRNA from 1 species